rnacentral:sRNA from 1 species
AGCAGCCGCGGUAAUUCCAGCUCCAAUAGCGUAUAUUAAAGUUGUUGCAGUUAAAAAGCUCGUAGUUGAAUUUCGGGAUUAAUUUACUGGUCGUGCUAUUGUACGCACUGGUUUUAUUGAUUCCUCCCUUCUGACGAACUAUGAUGCCAUUAAUUUGGUGUCUUAGGGAAUCAGGACUGUUACUUUGAAAAAUUAGAGUGUUUAAAGCAGGCUCACGCUUGAAUACAUUAGCAUGGAAUAACGGAAUAGGACGUUUGAUUCUAUUUUGUUGGUUUCUAGGAUCGACGUAAUGAUUAAUAGGGAUAGUUGGGGGCAUUAGUAUUCAAUUGUCAGAGGUGAAAUUCUUGGAUUUAUUGAAGACUAACUACUGCGAAAGCAUUUGCCAAGGAUGUUUUCAUUAAUCAAGAACGAAAGUUAGGGGAUCGAAGGCGAUCAGAUACCGUCGUAGUCUUAACCAUAAACUAUGCCGACUAGGGAUCGGAUGAUGUUAAUUUUUAAUGACUCAUUCGG